rnacentral:ncRNA from 23 species
GGUUGAGCGCAAGCUUUCAAGACAUGUCUUCCAAGGGUGAGGAAGU